rnacentral:misc_RNA from 1 species
GCCUCUAUGACAGUAGUAAACAUAUGUACAUCUGUUCAUUUCUUUUCUUCCUCUAAUAUUUAACUCCAGCAAACUUUUCCCAUCUGCUCCAAGUUUUAGGCGGCAACAAGCUUUUGAAUAUCCUUCUCAAUUUGAAAAGGUGAUGUUGUUGGUGGGUAUCUCUCAACAACUUUACCGUUUUUGUCCACCAAAAAUUUCUCAAAGUUCCACUUGAUAAGAUCGCCUAAAAACCCUCCAGCACUUGAUUUGAGAAACUGAUAUACUGGGGCAGUAUUUGGACCAUUGACAUCAACCUUGUCAAAAAUUGGGAACUCUGCUUUGAACCUCGAGCAGGCAAACUGCUUGAUUUCUGGAUUGGAUCCAGGUUCUU